rnacentral:rRNA from 1 species
UACAGAGGGUGCGAGCGUUAAUCGGAAUUACUGGGCGUAAAGCGUGCGUAGACGGCUAUCUAAGUCGGGUGUGAAAGCCCCGGGCUCAACCUGGGAAUUGCAUUCGAGACUGAAUAGCUAGGGUACGGUAGAGGGAAGUGGAAUUUCCGGUGUAGCGGUGAAAUGCGUAGAUAUCGGAAGGAACAUCAGUGGCGAAAGCGACUUCCUGGACCAGUACCGACGUUCAGGCACGAAAGCGUGGGGAGCAAACAGGG